UGCAGUCGAACGAACUUCCGUUAAUUGAUUAUGACGUACUUGUACUGAUUGAGAUUUUAACACGAAGUGAGUGGCGAACGGGUGAGUAACACGUGGGUAACCUGCCCAGAAGUAGGGGAUAACACCUGGAAACAGAUGCUAAUACCGUAUAACAGAGAAAACCGCAUGGUUUUCUUUUAAAAGAUGGCUCUGCUAUCACUUCUGGAUGGACCCGCGGCGUAUUAGCUAGUUGGUGAGGUAAAGGCUCACCAAGGCAGUGAUACGUAGCCGACCUGAGAGGGUAAUCGGCCACAUUGGGACUGAGACACGGCCCAGACUCCUACGGGAGGCAGCAGUAGGGAAUCUUCCACAAUGGACGCAAGUCUGAUGGAGCAACGCCGCGUGAGUGAAGAAGGGUUUCGGCUCGUAAAGCUCUGUUGUUAAAGAAGAACGUGGGUAAGAGUAACUGUUUACCCAGUGACGGUAUUUAACCAGAAAGCCACGGCUAACUACGUGCCAGCAGCCGCGGUAAUACGUAGGUGGCAAGCGUUAUCCGGAUUUAUUGGGCGUAAAGCGAGCGCAGGCGGUCUUUUAAGUCUAAUGUGAAAGCCUUCGGCUCAACCGAAGAAGUGCAUUGGAAACUGGGAGACUUGAGUGCAGAAGAGGACAGUGGAACUCCAUGUGUAGCGGUGAAAUGCGUAGAUAUAUGGAAGAACACCAGU
rnacentral:rRNA from 1 species